AACGCCAUAGGCAAUCACCAUAGGCAGAGAGAUUCCAUGUGUGUGAACAGGCAGACAAACAGAUGGGCUCAGAGAUCCACCGCUACUCUAAACAAGCAUAAAUCACACUUUGGAGGGAGGCACAUGUUGGGGGAGGAAAAGAUGGUAUUUCCUAGUUCAGCUCUACCAUGUGCUCUCUCCGGAGCCAUGCGUGCAAUCCCCGCAGCGCUGGGGUCACCCCGCAGUUCCCACCUCUCGAGGCAGAAGCAGUCCCCUAAGCCGGACGGGUUGAAGUGCCCCAAGCAAUGAGCGUGGAGCCGAUCCCAGCAGGGAUGGGGAAAGCUCUAGGCACCCGGGAUGGGGCUGCGGUUUCAUCCCGUGUGUCCCGUGCCUGGGCCUCUCCGUGUUUCCAGAUUCCUCCAGGUGUGCUGCAGCUGUCUGGAGAAGACAGUGGGACACAGUGACGCCCUUCCCCGCAGCACCGAGGGUUUGUUGUGUGCGUUCCCCGGGAGCAGCAGGAAAGGCCCGGUCCGCACCCUGUGCCUGAAGAUGAGUUCAGUUCCCGAACAUGCAGCUUCCAGGGAAGUGCUGCCGCCUCUCUCUCCACUCACUGCAUCACCUACGCCCACACCAGAGCUGGGGGGAACCUGCUGCCCGAGACAUUUCGGUUCAAAUAGUCACUUUUUCCAGCAGACUCCACUGACGUACUUCAAGCUCCAAAGUCAUUCUGUGUUUUGCAGAACCCGAAACAUCAUGGCAGGUCUUUACUCAAAUGGCUUUUAUCUGUCAAAACUCCUACUUUUAGGAAAACAUUCUUGCGAAAGCAGUGCCACCUCCAGCAUCCAGAGAGACCAGAAACUGCGGGAUAUUCAGGUGGUUUGGGAAGAUUUGAACUAUUCCUUCUGGAAAUGUCACUGCCUUUUGGGUUGGGUGUAAAGCUGUUUACACCAAGCUGAUGGACAUUCAGUGGAUUCAGUUUGGGUGAACACAAACAGGGUCCGGAGGCUGGAGUUUCUCCCCUUUCAGACACUGUAAAAGUGGAUUCUCUCUCCCAGAGCCUCUCUGAUGGCACAGUUCCUCUCCGGGGUGCAGAUGCCUGCACAGCUCUGCAGUGCUUCUCACUAGAGACAGAGCAAUAGACACAACAGAUGGAAACUAAGAGGCCACCUGGUUUUAAAGCAAAUCAUAUCAUCAAUCUAUCAGUGCAAAAUCUGAAACAUGGAAAGCGCUUAGAGAAACAAAAUUAAUUCAAUUUUUUUUUCUCCAAACUCGAUUUUCCCAAGGUCUGUUGAUGUGCCAUUUGCAAAAAUGCAUUUCUUUCUCUUAAAAUGAGAAUGUCAGUGGAUUGAGGUAGAAGAUUUUAAGUGCUUUACAUCAAAACAAUAACCAAAAAAUAUCUUUUGUUAGGCUGCCAUAAGUUACCAUCUUUCUAUUCAGAAAAGCUGUUUUUAAAAAUCUGCUACGUUCUUGUGCCCAGCUCCAAGAUCAUGGUUUUUCAUGGCUAAAUUAGACAGACCAGACAGAAUUAAUUUAAAUUAUCAACAGCAAUGCAGUUAAGAAAGAAAAUUAAAUUUCCUCAAUUAAGUCUUGACAGAAAUAGACUCUCUUUCAUAUCUGUGCUGUGGUUCUGUGUGAAAUUCUCUUCUAAACAACCCCUCAAGUGAGAACUUUCAGAAGAUGUUUAUUUCUUUCUUGUUUCUGUCCCUGUGAGAACAGCCAGAGAUCAAGUCUCCUGAAGUGUAAGAAACGUAUUUUAUGCACCAUCUAAAUGAGGGUUGCACCAUUCACAGACCCUGCUACCCAUUCCAUUUAAUCAGUUAAUUAUUUUAUACAGGUCAAGGAUGGGUUGAUGUACAGUUUAACCUACAAGACUUAAAAUCCCACUGAUACAACUGUCCAAAGGGGUUCUCAGUAGUUACUGCAGGCCUGCGACGAAUGGAGAAGUACAUAAAUAACAGUAUUUUAAAUAACCUAAUUUUUAACCUAAAAUAAGAAGAAAUAGUCUUUUAUGCCUCUAAAGCAUUCGUGGCCAGUACUGACGUGGCUGAAGAGCACCCAGCACCUCCUCACUGUUCCCAGCCCCACGCUGUAGCACUGACCCAGGGCAGCGGGGCCACUUCAUGGGAAUUGUUCCAACAGAGCCAGGCACAGGGAGCCAGCACAGAGUGUCCGUGGGGGCUGAGGAGAUUGAACAGCAACAUUCCUGCACUACCUGUGGUAUGAAGAUUCCCAGUAACAAGUCCGUUUUGGGAAAACUAGAACGAUCUUGACCCAAAUCUUUAAGGAUUUUGAAUCAACAUACAGUCAAUUUGAUUGAUUUACUUUAUUCUGAGAGCUAAAUGCAACUGUCACUGUAUCCUUCAUCCUCAGUCUGUUAUCGAUGAAUUCCUGGCCCUACUGACUUAA